UUGCAUAAAUUCGCUCUGCACCAUUUUGCCCGCGGGAUCUCCUCUGUAUCCGGCUGACACUGAAGUAACGGCAGCGCUUCCCGGCUGCAUGCCACCUCCGGAAUCCGAGUGCACGACCGAGCCUGAUGAGGAGAGAAUGCUGCUGCUGGCCAGUUUGACGCGCUCCUCCCUCUGCGCCGGAGACUACGCGAGUGUUUACGUUCAGCCUGGCGUGCGCGAACCUUCCGCAUCCUUCAGCCAAUCAGGACGCGGAGCUCUGCGCACGACCGACGCUCAUUGGCUGUCUCCUGAGCGAGAGGCAGAUCUCCGGGACGCGGAGCAGAAGCGUCACGUCAAAACAAUUUCUAAACGUGCACUUGAGCUUAAAGAGCAACAAAACGCAGAGGAAUAUAGGGGGUUGUGUCUGAAGUGGGGUCUGCUAACUCGAAAAGAAACAGUGACACAGUUUGCACCAACACUGUUAGGAUCACAAUUUUAUUUUUUUUAAGACGAGCUCACCAAAAAUAUAUCUGAACACACAUUUACUUGGUUUAACAGUUUAUUCUAACAGCAAAACUAAACUGCUGAAUGAAAUAAUUCUCAAAUUAAAUCUGUUAAGGUAACUAUUAAACAGAAUUAUUCCUUUAAAAUUAAACUCAUAAUAAAAAAUAUUUCUACGAUUCAUUUAUUAAAAAAUGUUUAAUUAAAGCAAGCUGGUGUGCGCUUUAACCACCUAAAUAUAAUAAUUAUAUUUCUACUGAAGGAGCACCACUUUGUAUUUUUUUAAACAAUUUAAAAAUUACUUACAAAUAAAAAUCACAUUUCUCUAUUUAUAUACGUUGACCCACAAUAGAUUCACGUGGUUUAAUUAUCCUAAUUAGCAUCCUUGUCAACAUCAAGAUUUCCUUUUUAUAUCUAAUUAUUUAAUAACACAGAGAAAAGUUUGCGUGAUGUCAAAAGAGCAGAUUGAAGAAUCGCCCUGGAAAGUGAUUCCUCUUGAAAAAGAAUGAUUUUUGAUUUGAUUAAUGAUUUCUGUUGUUGUUGUUGUUGUUUAUGUGUGAAGCCUGUAUUUGUACAGAACUGUAGGAUUUCCUCUUCCAGAAAGUUGAGAGCUGUUGUUUCCAGAGCAGCGAGGAUAGAGGGACCCUCCUGCAUAACAAGCAACUAGUAACAGUUAGUGCUGAUUUUAAUUAGCAUAAAUUUUCAUAUAUUUAAGGGAAAAUAAUAGCGGAGGGGAGCAGAGCAGGACUCAGUAGAGAGAGGAGAGAAGUGAGCUCAAACAGAAAGCACCGAGAGCAACGCCUGGAUUCACUGCCGCAACUCGGAGAGAAGAUGUUCAACAACACCGAUUUUACUAUUCAACUGUAACCAUUCUCUCUCUCUCUCUCUCUCUCUCUCUCUCUCUCUCUUACCAAGAAAAUUACCACUGAAAACUCUUCUUUGUGGAUGUGUGCAGCCAGCUGGCCGUGAUAGCCAGCACUGCCCAGGGACUGCAGAGUGCCAAGCUGGCAGAGGGAGGGCAGCUCUGGGGCAGAGAGGACUGGCAGCUCCAGGCCUCCAGGGGGGACAGAGGAGCAGUGAGCCCAUGGAGCAGUAACCUGCCCCCUGGGGGGAGAAGGGGAGGAGAUCUCAGCUGGGUGGAGAGCUCAGCCUGCCUCUCGAGGGCAUCUCGCUGCUCUUGCUACAUUGCUGUCAUCUUGACCCACUGACUGCCCGUCGAUCCUGGCGCCGUGCCAAGCUGUAAUGGCAGGCCGCACACAAAGGCACUCUGCCAGUGUCCUGCUGCAAGUCUGUGACUGGCAAUGAAUAUAAAACAGCUAUGUUUGUGUGUGUGUGUUCUCAGGCUGUUUGUGUCUUAGUCCAUUAAUCCAGCUAGGCUAGAUAUCUGUGUAUGUCACUGUGAAUGGCAGUGUGAGCCAAUAUUUUGUAGGUUUGGCGAUGUGGGCAUCUACUAACAUCCAAACGUAGUAUGUUAGACUCAUUUUCCUUCCUGGAAGACUAAAGCCGAUGUUAUACUGGAGCAGUUGUGCCCAGCUGAAUAUCAACUAUGACACUGAAGUUCUGUCAUAAAUACAGUACUGUGCAAAAGUCUUAGGCACAUGCAAAGAAAUGCUGUAGAGUAAAGAUGCCUUCAAAAAUAAUGAAACUAAAUAUUUCUACAUUAAAAAAUACUAUAAAGAGCAGUAAACAGUAAUUAAUGAAACAAAUCAAUAUUUGGUGUGACGAUCCUUCACUUUAAAAAAAAAAAAUUGCAGUCUCAGGUACAAUUAGUGCAGUUUUAUAUGGAAAUGAGCUGUAACUGUUACUGAGAAUCUUGCAGAAGCAGCCACAGUUCUUCUGGAGACUUUGACUGUCACACUCACUUCUUAUUUUUUGCAGCAAAACCCAGCAGCCUUCAUUAUGUUUUUUUUUGUCUGAAAAGUGUCUCUUAUGUAAUCUGCUGCUUUCUUUACUGACAUACAAACAUUUUUCUGUAACAUUUAAUUUUUUGCUGGAAAACUAAUGUUUGGAAAUCUAAAAUGAUUUAUACUGAAUCAAUAAUGUAGAAGUCAUAAAAUAAAAAUCUAUAACAAAGUUUGUACUAAAAGAAAAUAGGGUGCCUAAGACUUUUGCACAGUACUGUACUGUAUGUGUGCCAUAGCAACGUAUCAAGCUUUCAUUACAACUCUGCACCAACGUAUUUUAACUAAGCUAACCUCUGCCACUCGCUAUUUGAAUAAGACCGAUUGACAUAAAUCUACAUAAACAUUUAUAAAGAUAUCUUCCAAAAUGCUUCAGCCGUCAUAAAGAAUGCUUAAUUAAUUAAUGUAAUUAAUUUGUAUUUAAGUUAAUUUUUACAUCAAGUUGACAUGGCAGGUUGAUGUUAGUGACAUAUAGUUAGUAUAAUGCUGUGUUAUGACACUUUCUGAACUGACAUUUUGUUUUCAUGGCCCCUAUAAGUAAACUGUGUAUUUCAAUAUUCUUAAGAUUUUUUUAAACUUUAUGACAAAGUCAUGAUUCUGUCAUGGCAGAGUUAUGUAGAUUUUUCUGGCCCUAAAUUAGAGUAUGUCUGAGUAUGUCGUGAUCAGCAUUGUGAAACUCCUGGAAGAACAGCAAGCAACAAAAUCAUGUUAACAUAAAUCAGUAUUAUAAAUAAGUGUCAUAACACAAUCUUAUGUCAACGAUGGCAUCAGUGUCAUCUGACUCAGACGUUAUGUCAACCUGACAUCAAAAUUGAUUUUAAAAAAAGCAGUUCUUGUCACAGCUGAUUCCUGUUGGAAAGAAAAAGCUUUAUACAUUUGAUAUAAAAUUUAUAUGUUUUUUGUUUUUAUAACAUUUUAGUAUUGGACUAUUUACUCUGCUAAGGUGAAGCAAAAAUGUUUGUGGAUUGCCUGAUGUGGUUUUGAACACAAAGUAGUCCUAAUGUAAGCUAGCUGAAUUUUUUCACUUGUGACUGACAAGCGCUAUUAAUAACAAUUAAAAAAUUAUUAGUAAUUAGUGGUAAUUUUGUUCAGAAAAACGAUACCACAGUCCACCCUCUUGUUUCCUGUUGGUUCAUGUUUACUAGAUUUAUCAUGGAGUUAUAGUACCCCUAGAUGAGCUAGACAAGAGACAAUAAUAAUGGCUUUCUGAAGCAAAUUCCCUCACAUCCUUUUACAUUUAAGUUAAUGAACUUUUUCAGCAGUCAGAAUAUUUUUUCAUGUUAAAUCUGAUCACUGUUUUAUCUAGAAGCUGAUAGAUAGAAGCUGAAUUGGUUCUAAAAGUGAGGAGCAUUGAAACUAAUAUAUUGAAUUAUACUGUACUAUAAAUUAAAAACACAUUGCCAUUAGGGAAAUUAUUAUCAAAUACGUAAAAAUAAUAAUAAUAAUAAUAAUUCAAGACAUGUAUAUGUCUGGGGAAAAAGCAACUAUCUUUACCAAUCAAUGAUGAGGGAUCACAUGUGACAAACACAGACACACACAGGUGUUAAGUGCAAGCUGAAUAUCAUUUAAUAUAUUAAAUGAAAUUAAAAUUAAAUUAAUAUAUAUUAAACUUAUAUUAUUAGUGUAGGUAUUGGAUACUGUUGUUCCCAUUUGCCCAUAUGUCUAGACGUCCCAGUACCCUCCUCCUUCUCAUUGCCAUUCUCUUGAUCUCUGUGUGACCACCUUCCCUCCAUGAUAGUACGCCAUUCUGCCAGAAGAGACCAGUUGUUUUGACUUGUCCUAAACUAGUUUCCACAAUCUCUCACCUUCAACUUUCACUACCGAUUAUUUAAUUUCAGUUGCUCCUCCAUCUAUUGGAGUGUUUUGUCAGAGGGAAAUAGAGAAACACAGUAAAUGUGGAAUAUGCAGUGUAACUGUAGAACAGCAUAACCACUCUGUUGCACUAAGAUUGCCAAAUUAAUGAAUACUGUGAUGUCUCCAUGUGUGUGAUGUGAUGUGCUGGCAUUCUACUAGAAAUACAGUUGAUGCAAAAUUAA